rnacentral:ncRNA from 1 species
UACCCGAACAGGCAACCUCGUUCCGAUGACGAGGACGCAAAGCCAGGGACCUCCCUGCUGGAGGUUGCCCAGCCGCCGAA